UUUUACAACCAGGAGGAAGAUUAGUCAAUUUCCAAGUAUGGUUUUGGAUAAUUGAUUGCAUCUCAUUGUCCACAGCUUCUCUCCAAAAAGGUGAAUCCAAAGAUUUCAUUGCGUCCUCAAAGGUAGUUGGAGAGUCUUCUAUUAGGAAGGUAUAAAAAUCAUCUCCAAAUGUUUCUCUACCCUGGAUUUUUUACUCCUCCUAGGUUCUGCUUCUACUUCUAUUUCUCUUGUCCUUAUUCUACUAGAGCUACUAGCUAUACCGCUAUCUACUCUAGUCUUAAGUG
rnacentral:lncRNA from 1 species